rnacentral:rRNA from 1 species
GCAAUACAUGGCGUACUGCUCAGUAACACGUGGACAACCUACCCUCCGGACGGGUAUAAACCUGGGAAACUGGGUAUAAUCCCCGAUAGAUCUCGGUUGCUGGAAUGCUCCGAGAUCGAAAGCUCCGGCGCCGGAGGAUGGGCCUGCGGCCUAUCAGGUAGUAGUGGGUGUAGCGUACCUACUAGCCUACGACGGGUACGGGUUGUGAGAGCAAGAGCCCGGAGAUGGAUUCUGAGACACGAAUCCAGGCCCUACGGGGUGCAGCAGGCGCGAAAACUUUACAAUGCCGGCAACGGCGAUAAGGGGACCUCGAGUGCCAGGUUACAAAUCUGGCUGUCGUGAUGCCCAAAAAGCAUUGCAUAGCAGGGGCCGGGCAAGACCGGUGCCAGCCGCCGCGGUAGCACCGGCGGCUCGAGUGGUAACCGUUAUUAUUGGGUCUAAAGGGUCUGUAGCCGGCCGGAUAAGUCUCUUGAGAAAUCCAGCAGCUCAACUGUUGGGCUUUCAGGAGAUACUGUUCGGCUCGAGGCCGGGAGAGGUGAGAGGUACUUCAGGGGUAGGGGUGAAAUCUUGUAAUCCUUGAAGGACCACCAGUGGCGAAGGCGUCUCACCAGAACGGACCUGACGGCAAGGGACGAAAGCUAGGGGCACGAACCGGAUUAGAUACCCGGGUAGUCCUAGCCGUAAACGAUACUCGCUAGGUGUCGGCCACGGUGCGACCGUUGUCGGUGCCGUAGGGAAGCCGUGAAGCGAGCCACCUGGGAAGUACGGCCGCAAGGCUGAAACUUAAAGGAAUUGGCGGGGGAGCACCACAACGGGUGGAGCUUGCGGUUUAAUUGGAUUCAACGCCGGAAAUCUUACCGGGACCGACAGCAAUAUGAAGGCCAGGCUGAAGACUUUGCCGGAUUAGCUGAGAGGUGGUGCAUGGCCGUCGUCAGUUCGUACUGUGAAGCAUCCUGUUAAGUCAGGCAACGAGCGAGACCCA